UACGGAGGGUGCAAGCGUUGUCCGGAUUUAUUGGGUUUAAAGGGUGCGUAGGCGGCUUCAUAAGUCCGUGGUGAAAGCCAACAGCUCAACUGUUGAACUGCCAUGGAUACUGUGAGGCUUGGGUACAGACGAGGUAGGCGGAAUGGAUCGUGUAGCGGUGAAAUGCAUAGAUACGAUCCAGAACACCGAUUGCGUAGGCAGCUUACUAGGCUGUAACUGACGCUGAGGCACGAAAGCGUGGGGAGCGAACAGG
rnacentral:rRNA from 1 species